AGGCUUGAGAGACUCAGGCGAGGAACAGAGAGCUACAGCUGCCUUGGGGGUCUUUCAGCUACUGACUGACCUAGCUGUGUUGCCUGGGAACCGGCUUUUCUCCUUUUCUCCUAGGAUUUCCCCACCUGGGUCUGCUGCCUCCUUCAUGUUUUACCACCUGGUGUCACUUCAGAUUCUGAAACUAUCUGUGGCUCAUCUACUUAGGGAGGACACUGAUGUGGACAUUGCAGAAUAUCAGCUCCAGUUUGAUAAGGUGGUGCACAAUGGUGUGAGAGAGGACUUUGAGGGUUUUCUUCCUAGGUGCUCAAG
rnacentral:lncRNA from 1 species